rnacentral:rRNA from 1 species
UACGGAGGGGACUAGCGUUGUUCGGAAUUACUGGGCGUAAAGCGCACGUAGGCGGAUUUGUAAGUCAGGGGUGAAAUCCCCGGGGCUCAACCUCGGAACUGCCUUUGAUACUGCAAAUCUCGAGUCCCGGAAGAGGUGAGUGGAAUUCCUAGUGUAGAGGUGAAAUUCGUAGAUAUUAGGAAGAACACCAGUGGCGAAGGCGGCCCCACUGGAUCGGUACUGACGCUGAGGUGCGAAAGCGUGGGGAGCAAACAGG